UUCCACAGCUACUGGUCUGCAACUGUUCUUAUUGUAGCAGUUGCCGCAUUCCUCUGUGAGAAAGAAUGUUACAAGAUUAAACACCUCUUUCUUAGUGAAACAGAAAGUGGGCACAUCUGUGACAAACAAGA